AAAAUCCGUCGACUUUAUAAGUCGUGAGGGUCAA
rnacentral:tRNA from 1 species